ensembl:lncRNA
CUGGAUUGUUUCUGCUAAUACAGGACAAAGUAGUAAAUCCAUAUGAUGGUUAUUCAGAGAGAGCAAAUGAGAGGGAAAUGUGUUUCCGUAUCUUCGGUGCCACUGGAAUCUAACAUAUUUAAUUGAGGUAAUAAAAGUCGGAGCUAAUAGAGAAAAAAAGCCUUCAGCAGGGACAAUGAGCAAAUUAGAUGCCUCUCUGCUCAGCGUGAGGUUUUUUCAGCUGCAAAAGUAAAAUGAAUCAACCACGGAAUUACCCCAAGAAACUAAUAGCUACUGCUGUAGUGGUAGAACAUUAAAUAUCUGGGCAAAUAAAUUUUACAUCCUCAGGCUGAUUGUGAGACAAAGUCAGCAAAUUCUAAUUGAGGUGCAUUCUACAAAACACCUGACUACUACUCCUCAAACCGUCAAGUUCUUCAGAAAUAAAGAAGGUUUAAGAAAUUAUUACAGUCAAGAUACAUGGCAACUAAACGUGAUGUGGUAUCCUGUAUGGGAUACAGAAACUGAAAAAGUACAUUAUGUAAAAUCCAAGGAAACCUGAAUCAAGUAUCUAAAGAUGAAAAUAGAGGUCAAGUAUUUGGGUUCUGGGAGCAAAUUGCCUAGACUCAAAUCCCACUGUAACACUUUGCAGCUGAAUGACCUGGCCGAAGUUGUCUGUGGUGUG